rnacentral:rRNA from 1 species
AUGCAAGUCGAACGGUGAAGCCCAGCUUGCUGGGUGGAUCAGUGGCGAACGGGUGAGUAACACGUGAGCAAUCUGCCCCUGACUCUGGGAUAAGCGCUGGAAACGGCGUCUAAUACUGGAUACGAACAGCGACCGCAUGGUCAGUUGUUGGAAAGAAUUUCGGUCAGGGAUGAGCUCGCGGCCUAUCAGCUUGUUGGUGAGGUAAUGGCUCACCAAGGCGUCGACGGGUAGCCGGCCUGAGAGGGUGACCGGCCACACUGGGACUGAGACACGGCCCAGACUCCUACGGGAGGCAGCAGUGGGGAAUAUUGCACAAUGGGCGCAAGCCUGAUGCAGCAACGCCGCGUGAGGGACGACGGCCUUCGGGUUGUAAACCUCUUUUAGCAGGGAAGAAGCGAAAGUGACGGUACCUGCAGAAAAAGCGCCGGCUAACUACGUGCCAGCAGCCGCGGUAAUACGUAGGGCGCAAGCGUUAUCCGGAAUUAUUGGGCGUAAAGAGCUCGUAGGCGGUUUGUCGCGUCUGCUGUGAAAUCCCGAGGCUCAACCUCGGGUCUGCAGUGGGUACGGGCAGACUAGAGUGCGGUAGGGGAGAUUGGAAUUCCUGGUGUAGCGGUGGAAUGCGCAGAUAUCAGGAGGAACACCGAUGGCGAAGGCAGAUCUCUGGGCCGUAACUGACGCUGAGGAGCGAAAGGGUGGGGAGCAAACAGGCUUAGAUACCCUGGUAGUCCACCCCGUAAACGUUGGGAACUAGUUGUGGGGUCCAUUCCACGGAUUCCGUGACGCAGCUAACGCAUUAAGUUCCCCGCCUGGGGAGUACGGCCGCAAGGCUAAAACUCAAAGGAAUUGACGGGGACCCGCACAAGCGGCGGAGCAUGCGGAUUAAUUCGAUGCAACGCGAGAACCUUACCAAGGCUUGACAUAUACGAGAACGGGCCAGAAGUGGUCAACUCUUUGGACACUCGUAAACAGGUGGGUGCAUGGGUGUCGUCAGCUCGUGGUCGUGAGAUGUUGGGUUAAGUCCCGCACGGAGCGCAACCC